AAUCCGGAGAGACAUCCUAUACUACAAGGGGCGCAUUGACAUGGAUAAAUAUGAGGUCAUUGACAUUGAAGAUGGCAGAGAUGAUGACUUUAAUGUCAGCAUGAAAAAUGCUUUCAAGCUGCACAACAAGGAAACCGAAGAAGUACAUCUGUUCUUUGCCAAGAAACUGGAGGAGAAAAUACGUUGGCUUAGAGCUUUCAGAGAAGAGAGGAAAAUGGUACAAGAAGAUGAAAAAAUUGGCUUUGAGAUUUCUGAAAAUCAGAAGAGACAGGCUGCAAUGACUGUGAGAAAAGCGUCUAAACAGAAAGUAACCCAAAGAAAAUGGCACUAUUAGCCCCUGUUCCAGGUUAAGAAACUGAAAACACUCAAGGUGUCAACUCUGCUCGCUCAGUUCCACCUUCCUAUCCACCACCACAGGACCCGUUAAACCAGGGCCAGUACCUGGUCCCCGAUGGCAUCGCUCAGUCUCAAGUGUUUGAGUUCACUGAACCGAAACGCAGCCAGUCACCAUUCUGGCAAAACUUCAGUAGGUUAACCCCCUUCAAAAAAUAAUACCUAUAGGAAGGCAGAUAAUUUUAAAAUAAAUAAAAUUAUAUUUAUAGAUGG
rnacentral:lncRNA from 1 species